CGGAGUACUUGAGUGCAAUCCACAUUAGUCGGGAAAUGGUAUUAGGUAAAUUGUUGGGACUGAAGGCAGAUAAAUCCCCAGGGCUUGAUGGUCUGCAUCCCAGAGUACUCAAGGAUAUGGCCCCUAGAAAUUGUGGAUGCAUUA